AACGAACGCUGGCGGCAUGCCUAACACAUGCAAGUCGAACGAGACCUUCGGGUCUAGUGGCGCACGGGUGCGUAACGCGUGGGAUCCUGCCCUUAGAUUCGGAAUAACUCCCCGAAAGGGGUGCUAAUACCGGAUAAUGUUUUCGGACCAAAGCUUUAUCGCCUUUGGAUGGGCCCGCGUUGGAUUAGCUAGUUGGUAGGGUACAAGCCUACCAAGGCGACGAUCCAUAGCUGGUCUGAGCGGAUGAUCAGCCACACUGGGACUGAGACACGGCCCAGACUCCUACGGGAGGCAGCAGUGGGGAAUAUUGGACAAUGGGCGAAAGCCUGAUCCAGCAAUGCCGCGUGAGUCAUGAAGGCCUUAGGGUUGUAAAGCUCUUUGACCCGGGAUGAUAAUGACAGUACCUGGAGAAUAAGCUCCGGCUAACUCUGUG
rnacentral:rRNA from 1 species